rnacentral:lncRNA from 1 species
GACAAAUUUUAAAUGACUUAUUUUUUAAAAAAGGUUAUCUUAACACUACAUUUGAGCUUCUAAAAUGGCAAUGCCCAAUGAAGGCCAUGGUUGCAUAUCAGGAUUCUAACAAAAUCUGGGGGUUAGAGUGGUAGAACAUGACAGGGUUUUGUUUGUUGCUGUGUUGGUGAAAAAAGUUGAGAAAUAUUACCUUAGACACAAUGAAUAACUCAGUGGACAGACAUGGGAAUAUCAUGACUACUGUGUAUUUCUGGAGGAAAAGUUCAAACAUUUCCAUUGGUUUUGCUCUAUUAUUCUCAUCUAGAACUGUUUUGAGUCAGUCAGACUGUAAACAUAACAAAGAAAGUCGUUCCAGUUUCCCAGGCUUUAAUACUCUAGUUUCAGUUACCAAGUUUUCAGAAGUACAGAAGUGAAAGCAACACUCCAUUUUCAACAGAUACCUUAAUGUGAACUUGACUGUGCUUCUUCAGAAGAUAAUAUGUUCAUUUUUGAAGCAGCUUUAACUCCACCUAUUCUAUGAACUACUGUCUCAAAAGAUAUUAACAGUGCUCUAUGAAUAAAAGUUUCUAUGGU